rnacentral:rRNA from 1 species
GGUUAACCGAAUAGGGGAGCCGAAGGGAAACCGAGUCUUAACUGGGCGUUAAGUUGCAGGGUAUAGACCCGAAACCCGGUGAUCUAGCCAUGGGCAGGUUGAAGGUUGGGUAACACUAACUGGAGGACCGAACCGACUAAUGUUGAAAAAUUAGCGGAUGACUUGUGGCUGGGGGUGAAAGGCCAAUCAAACCGGGAGAUAGCUGGUUCUCCCCGAAAGCUAUUUAGGUAGCGCCUCGUGAAUUCAUCUCCGGGGGUAGAGCACUGUUUCGGCUAGGGGGCCAUCCCGGCUUACCAACCCGAUGCAAACUGCGAAUACCGGAGAAUGUUAUCACGGGAGACACACGGCGGGUGCUAACGUCCGUCGUGAAGAGGGAAACAACCCAGACCGCCAGCUAAGGUCCCAAAGUCAUGGUUAAGUGGGAAACGAUGUGGGAAGGCUCAGACAGCCAGGAUGUUGGCUUAGAAGCAGCCAUCAUUUAAAGAAAGCGUAAUAGCUCACUGGUCGAGUCGGCCUGCGCGGAAGAUGUAACGGGGCUAAACCAUGCACCGAAGCUGCGGCAGCGACACUAAGUGUUGUUGGGUAGGGGAGCGUUCUGUAAGCCUGUGAAGGUGUGCUGUGAGGCAUGCUGGAGGUAUCAGAAGUGCGAAUGCUGACAUAAGUAACGAUAAAGCGGGUGAAAAGCCCGCUCGCCGGAAGACCAAGGGUUCCUGUCCAACGUUAAUCGGGGCAGGGUGAGUCGACCCCUAAGGCGAGGCCGAAAGGCGUAGUCGAUGGGAAACAGGUUAAUAUUCCUGUACCAGGUGUUACUGCGAAGGGGGGACGGAGAAGGCUAUGUUGGCCGGGCGACGGUUGUCCCGGUUUAAGCGUGUAGGUGUGUGUUCCAGGUAAAUCCGGUUCACUUUAACACUGAGGCGUGAUGACGAGGCACUACGGUGCUGAAGUGACAAAUGCCCUGCUUCCAGGAAAAGCCUCUAAGCAUCAGGUAACAUCAGAUCGUACCCCAAACCGACACAGGUGGUCAGGUAGAGAAUACCAAGGCGCUUGAGAGAACUCGGGUGAAGGAACUAGGCAAAAUGGUGCCGUAACUUCGGGAGAAGGCACGCUGAUAUGUAGGUGAAGCGAUUUACUCGUGGAGCUGAAAUCAGUCGAAGAUACCAGCUGGCUGCAACUGUUUAUUAAAAACACAGCACUGUGCAAACACGAAAGUGGACGUAUACGGUGUGACGCCUGCCCGGUGCCGGAAGGUUAAUUGAUGGGGUUAUCCGUAAGGAGAAGCUCUUGAUCGAAGCCCCGGUAAACGGCGGCCGUAACUAUAACGGUCCUAAGGUAGCGAAAUUCCUUGUCGGGUAAGUUCCGACCUGCACGAAUGGCGUAAUGAUGGCCAGGCUGUCUCCACCCGAGACUCAGUGAAAUUGAACUCGCUGUGAAGAUGCAGUGUACCCGCGGCAAGACGGAAAGACCCCGUGAACCUUUACUAUAGCUUGACACUGAACACUGGUCCUUGAUGUGUAGGAUAGGUGGGAGGCUUUGAAGCGCGGACGCCAGUUCGUGUGGAGCCAUCCUUGAAAUACCACCCUUUAAUGGCUGGUGUUCUAACGUGGGCCCGUAAUCCGGGUUGCGGACAGUGUCUGGUGGGUAGUUUGACUGGGGCGGUCUCCUCCUAAAGAGUAACGGAGGAGCACGAAGGUUAGCUAAUCCUGGUCGGACAUCAGGAGGUUAGUGCAAAGGCAUAAGCUAGCUUGACUGCGAGCGUGACGGCGCGAGCAGGUGCGAAAGCAGGUCUUAGUGAUCCGGUGGUUCUGAAUGGAAGGGCCAUCGCUCAACGGAUAAAAGGUACUCCGGGGAUAACAGGCUGAUACCGCCCAAGAGUUCAUAUCGACGGCGGUGUUUGGCACCUCGAUGUCGGCUCAUCACAUCCUGGGGCUGAAGUAGGUCCCAAGGGUAUGGCUGUUCGCCAUUUAAAGUGGUACGCGAGCUGGGUUUAGAACGUCGUGAGACAGUUCGGUCCCUAUCUGCCGUGGGCGCUGGAGAAUUGAGGGGGGCUGCUCCUAGUACGAGAGGACCGGAGUGGACGCAUCACUGGUGUUCGGGUUGUCAUGCCAAUGGCACUGCCCGGUAGCUAAAUGCGGAAGAGAUAAGUGCUGAAAGCAUCUAAGCACGAAACUUGCCCCGAGAUGAGUUCUCCCUGACCCUUUAAGGGUCCUGAAGGAACGUUGAAGACGACGACGUUGAUAGGCCGGGUGUGUAAGCGCAGCGAUGCGUUGAGCUAACCGGUACUAAUGAACCGUGAGGCUUAACCUU